AUGAACAAAGCUAGUAGAGGUAAUAGAAUUCCAGUUGAGCUAUUUCAAAUCCUAAAAGAUGAUGCUGUGAAAGUGCUGCACUCAAUAUGCCAGCACAUUUGGAAAACUCAACAGUGGCCUCGGGACUGGAAAAGGUCAGUUUUCAUUCCAAUCCCCAAUAAAGGCAAUGCCAAAGAAUGCUCAAACUACCACACAAUUGCAGUCAUCUCACAUGCUAGUAAAGUAAUGCUCAAAAUUCUCCAAGCCAGGCUUCAGCAAUACAUGAACCAUGAACUUCCAUAUGUUCAAGCUAGUUUUGGAAAAGGCAGAGGAACCAGAGAUCAAAUGGCCAACAUCCGCUGGAUCAUGGAAAAGGCAAGAGAGUUCCAGAAAAACAUCUAUUUCUGCAUUAUUGACUAUGCCAAAGCCUUUGACUGUGUGGAUCACAAUAAACUGUGGAAAAUUCUGAGAGAGGUGGGAAUACCAGACCACCUGACCUGCCUCUUGAGAAAUCUGUAUGCAAGUCAGGAAGCAACAGUUAGAACUGGACAUGGAACAACAGACUGGUUCCAAAUAGGAAAAGGAGUGUGUCAAGGCUGUAUAUUGUCACCCUGCUUGUUUAGCAUAUAUGCACAGUACAUCAUGAGAAACACUGGGCUGGAAGUAGCACAAGCUGGAAUCAAGAUUGCCAGGAGAAAUAUCAAUAACCUCAGAUAUGCAGAUGACACCACCCUUAUGGCAGAAAGUGAAGAGGAACUAAAGAGCCUUGUGAUGAAAGUGAAAGAGGAGAGUGAAAAAGUUAGCUUAAAGCUCAACAUUCAGAAAACGAAGAUCAUGGCAUCUGGUCCCAUCACUUCGUGGGAAAUAGAUGGGGAAACAGUGGAAACAGUGGCUGACUUUAUUUUGGGGGGCUCCAAAAUCACUGCAGAUGGUGAUUGCAGCCAUGAAUUUAAAAGACGCUUACUCCUUGGAAGGAAAGUUAUGACCAACCUACAUAGCAUAUUCAAAAGCAGAGAUAUCGCUUUGUCAACAAAGGUCUGUCUAGUCAAGGCUGUGGUUUUUCCAUUGGUCUUGUAUGAAUGUAAGAGCUGGACUGUGAAGAAAGCUGAGUGCCAAAGAAUUGAUGCUUUUGAACUGUGGUGUUGGAGAAGACUCUUGGAAAAGUCCCUUGGACUGCAAGGAGAUCCAACCAGGCUAUCCUAA
rnacentral:lncRNA from 1 species